rnacentral:rRNA from 1 species
GAUGAACGCUGGCGGCGUGCUUAACACAUGCAAGUCGAACGGAGUUAUGAUGUGAGAGGAAAGAAGCUUGCUUUGGACUAAUCUUUUCAUAACUUAGUGGCGGACGGGUGAGUAACGCGUGGGUAACCUGCCUUAUACAGGGGGAUAACAGUCGGAAACGACUGCUAAUGCCGCAUAAGCGCACAGUAUCGCAUGAUACAGUGUGAAAAGAUUUAUCGGUAUAAGAUGGACCCGCGUCUGAUUAGCUGGUUGGUGAGGUAACGGCCCACCAAGGCGACGAUCAGUAGCCGGCCUGAGAGGGUGAACGGCCACAUUGGGACUGAGACACGGCCCAAACUCCUACGGGAGGCAGCAGUGGGGAAUAUUGCACAAUGGGGGAAACCCUGAUGCAGCGACGCCGCGUGAGUGAAGAAGUAUUUCGGUAUGUAAAGCUCCAUCAGCAGGGAAGAAAAUGACGGUACCUGACUAAGAAGCCCCGGCUAACUAUGUGCCAGCAGCCGCCGAAUAC